CCCUUAGAUGUUCUGGGCCGCACGCGCGCUACACUGACUACUUCAACGGGUUGUUUCCUUGAUCGAAAGGUCUGGGUAAUCUUUGAAAGGUAGUCGUGAUGGGGAUAGAUCCUUGCAAUUUUUGAUCUUCAACGAGGAAUUCCUAGUAAACGCAAGUCAUCAGCUUGCAUUGAUUACGUCCCUGCCCUUUGUACACACCGCCCGUCGCACCUACCGAUUGAAUGGUCCGGUGAAUCUUUAGGACUGUGGCUGAGGCCUUGCCUUGUGCGGGUCUGGCCGUGGGAAUUUAGUUAAACCUUACCAUUUAGAGGAAGGUGAAGUCGUANCA
rnacentral:rRNA from 1 species